rnacentral:rRNA from 1 species
GACGAACGCUGGCGGCGUGCUUAACACAUGCAAGUCGAACGGUAAGGCCCUUCGGGGUACACGAGUGGCGAACGGGUGAGUAACACGUGGGUGAUCUGCCCUGCACUUCGGGAUAAGCCUGGGAAACUGGGUCUAAUACCGGAUAGGACCACUGCCUGCAUGGGUGGUGGUGGAAAGCUUUUGCGGUGUGGGAUGGGCCCGCGGCCUGUCAGCUUGUUGGUGGGGUAAUGGCCUACCAAGGCGACGACGGGUAGCCGGCCUGGGGGGGUGACCGGUCACACUGGGACUGAGAUACGGCCCAGACUCCUACGGGAGGCAGCAGUGGGGAAUAUUGAACAAUGGGCGCAAGCCUGAUGCAGCGACGCCGCGUGAGGGAUGACGGCCUUCGGGUUGUAAACCUCUUUCAGCUAUGACGAAGCGCAAGUGACGGUAGUAGCAGAAGAAGGACCGGCCAACUACGUGCCAGCAGCCGCCGUAA